rnacentral:lncRNA from 1 species
AUGAUGGUCCAGCAGGAGUACGGCCCUCAGGCAGCUAGGGAGACCAAGAUAUGCAAAGCUUUGCUACAAGUGAGUUUCCAGAUGAGCAACAGAGCUCAAAACUCCAGACUCUCAGCCUGCAACUCACCACCCCCAGCCAAAGCCAGCCACUUUUCAGGACUGAUCAGCCUCCCGAAGGGCCACUGGAGCACACAGUGGACAGAUGUAGAUGGUCUGAGACUAAAAAGAAAAGUAACCUCGGAGCAAGGGGGGACUUCACUUCAGCGUGAUCCAGAGUGUGGGGGAGCCGUGGCAGGUUGGCGUUUCCGGCUUAAGACUUUGAUUGUAUCUACCUGGAAAAUGGAUACUGGGGGCCAGCUGGCCAGUCUCUGCUCUGGCGGUGUGCAGACUCAAUCUUAGACUGGGAUCUGGAGGCAGGAUCAGAGGGGAGCAGAAGGCUCUUUGUGCCAAGGCUGGGUCCACACACUCCUCUGGUUGACGUGUGAGGCACCUUGGUGAGCUUGCCCUAAGAGACGGCUGAGGAACAGUGGCACAGAGACUUGAGACACAGCAUCGGGGGCAAGGGGAGGUCAAAAGCGCUCCAGCACAAAGCAGUCUUCACUGGACACUGGUGCUUCUCAGAAGCGUUCUCCUGGCACUUGAUCUCCAAACCUAAUGCAGGGGUAAGCCAACUUGUGCGCCCCUAUCCUGGCCCUUAACUUUGAGUCCUGUAAGCAUUCCAAUGCAAGUUCAAAGUGAGGUCCAGUGACUCUCCCCCUCCCCCCAGAAGCAGAUGUGGCCAGGGCUCCAUCACACCCUUGUGCAGGGAAGAUCCACCUCCCCAAGGGCAGGGAUGCAAGUCUGUUCCUUGGCUUCUGAAGAGAUUGUAUGGUGCUCUGU